rnacentral:rRNA from 1 species
AUUGGGUUUAAAGGGUCCGCAGGCGGUCUAUUAAGUCUGAGGUGAAAUCCUAUCGCUCAACAAUAGAACUGCCUUUGAUACUGCUAGACUUGAGUUAUUGUGAAGUAGUUAGAAUGUGUAGUGUAGCGGUGAAAUGCUUAGAUAUUACACAGAAUACCAAUUGCGAAGGCAGAUCACUAACAAUAUACUGACGCUCAGGGACGAAAGCGUGGGUAGCGAACAGGAUUAGAUACCCUGGUAGUCCACGCCGUAAACGAUGGAUACUAGCUGUAUGUCUACUUCAGGUAGAUGUGUGGCUAAGCGAAAGUGAUAAGUAUCCCACCUGGGGAGUACGAUCGCAAGAUUGAAACUCAAAGGAAUUGACGGGGGCCCGCACAAGCGGUGGAGCAUGUGGUUUAAUUCGAUGAUACGCGAGGAACCUUACCAGGGUUUAAAUGGAAAUUGACAGACGCCGAAAGGUGUCUUUCUUCGGACAAUUUUCAAGGUGCUGCAUGGUU